rnacentral:rRNA from 1 species
AUUGAACGCUAGCGGGAUGCCUUACACAUGCAAGUCGAACGGAGUGGCGAACGGGUGAGUAAUGUAUCGGAACGUGCCCAGUAGCGGGGGAUAACUACGCGAAAGCGUAGCUAAUACCGCAUACUAUUGGAGCGGCCGAUAUCGGAUUAGCUAGUUGGUGGGGUAACGGCUCACCAAGGCGACGAUCCGUAGCUGGUUUGAGAGGACGACCAGCCACACUGGGCCUGCGACACGGCCCAGACUCCUCCGGUAGGCAGUAGUGGGGAAUUUUGGGCAAUGGGAGAAUCCCUGAUCCAGCCCUCCCGCUUGUGCGCUUAAGGCCUUCGGAUUUUAAAGCACUUUUGGCAGGACAGCGGUUCCUGCAGAAUAAGCACCGGCUAACUACGUGCCAGCAGCCGCGGUAAUUC